GAUUGUUUUCUUAAUUUAUUUUUCUGGCAGUUUGUUGUUGGUGUAUAGAAAUGCAACUGAUUUUUGUAGCUUGAUCUAACAUGCUACAAGUUUACCGAAAUCAUGUAUUAGUUCUAAUAGUUUUUUGUGGGUCUUUAGGGUUUUCUAUAUAUAAUAUCAUGUCAUCUGCAAACAGAGACAGUUUUACUUCUUAUUUCCUGACUUGGAUGCCUUUUAUUCCUUUAUCUUGCCUAUUUACUCUGGCUAGGACUUCCAGCACUAUUAUGAAUGAAAGCGGUGAGACUGGACAUCCUUGUCUUGUUCCUGAUUUGAGAAGAGGGGAGCUCAGGAGGCUCCUGUGUCCCCAUCUUCAAAACUGCAUUCUUCUAUAUAAAGGAAAAUUCACUCCUUGGAAAAACAUUUUCUAAUGAAAUCUUCUUGGUUACCCUCCUACUAGCCUACCUCAAGCCAUUCGUAAUACCAUUUAAUAUUUGUUAACCUAAUGAUUUUAAUAUGUAACUGGAAUUACGUAUAGUUCAGCUCUACAAUUUAAGUAGGUAAGGGAAGAGGAAAGUUGAAGAGCUGAGUUGACUGAUUGCUGAAGGAUUUGUCCAGCUUGGGAGCCAGAGUUGUGGUGUUGCAUUAACUGCCUUAGCAGUAUGAUGCUAUUUCUUCCCUGUCUGUUACACAUUCAGAAAAAAAGCAGAAGCCGUAAGAUAGGGAAUGCGAGGUAAGGUGGUGUUAUGGAGAGAGAAAUGGCCUGACCCAGUUUCCAAUGGUAAUAGUAGGAAAUAGCAGUUGAGUGCCUCAAAAAUUUCAGGAUAUUAUGGCAUGUUGCUGUAUCUUAGCUCAUUUAAUCUUCACAAGGACCCUUUCAAAUGAUACUAUUAUCCCUACUUUAUAGAAAACUGAGGCCCAGAGGUUAACUUUCUUAAGGCCACACACAGUGAGCGAAAGGAUUCUAAUUCAGAUCCAGAAGUUACAUUGACUCUAACUCUACUCGUAUUUUUCCUACUUCCUUUCUUUGCAGAUGUCAGGUAAGAAGCGAGGUCAAAUAACUAUGCAGCAGUGUGAUGACUGUAUUGGUCAUGAAAGGUUAAGUUGUAAUAAAAUUAGCAGAAAUUCUCCAAAUAGCAAUAUUUAAAAUAACAAAGACUUGUUUCUUUUUACCCUACAGAUCCAACAAGGGUCAACUGAGACUUUUACUCCAUGUCUCCAUGGUCCUCCUCAGAAACUCAGGUUGAGGGGCUCCAUGUCACUUCCAACUCAGUGAAAAAUCAAUGGGAGGAACAAGUAUCCUGACCCAUAGUGCUCAGUCGUGGGCCCAGGUGACAAGCUACAUGUCACUUUCACUCCCAACUCAAUGGAGAGAACCAGUUGCACGGCUCCACCCAACAACAGGGAAAGCAAGAACCACAAUCCUACAGAGUAAUUUUGCUAAUCAGCCACCAGUCACAAGGAAACUGCCAGACAGGAGAGCUUACAUAAGGACAUCAAAGGAGCCGUCUGGAUUAUACUGGCGGGUUGAAAAUAUGUACUGAACUCUUAAAAGUUUCCAGAAAGUCAUUUGAAGUCAAGAUACUGGGGAAUUCUCACUUUUUUAUAAAUGUUGAUUUUUUUGUUUCUUUUGAGCUUCUUUAAUAAACGUCUGUUAGUUUUUUCUUUAAAAUAUGUUUUUCUUAGAGCUACAUCAUUAAAAAACCUCUUGAAAUUAUGGUUCUAUGGUUACUUUGUUACUCAUUCAUUUCUACAAGUUUGAGAUGCUCUAUACAUGUUUUUUGCUAAAUAAAAAUAAUCUUUUGCUUCAGU